rnacentral:rRNA from 1 species
AUUGAACGCUGGCGGCAUGCCUUUCACAUGCAAGUCGAACGGUAACGCGGGGCAACCUGGCGACGAGUGGCGAACGGGUGAGUAAUGCAUCGGAACGUGCCCAGUAGUGGGGGAUAGCCCGGCGAAAGCCGGAUUAAUACCGCAUACGACCUACGGGUGAAAGGGGGGGAUCGCAAGACCUCUCGCUAUUGGAGCGGCCGAUGUCAGAUUAGGUAGUUGGUGGGGUAAAGGCCUACCAAGCCGACGAUCUGUAGCUGGUCUGAGAGGACGACCAGCCACGCUGGGACUGCGACACGGCCCAGACUCCUACGGGAGGCAGCAGUGGGGAAUUGUGGACACUGGGCGCAAGCUUGAUCCCGCCAUGCCGAGUGCGGGAAGAAGGUAUACGGGUUGUAAACCGCUUUUGGCAGGGAAGAAAUCUUUUGAGCUAAUACCUCGGAAGGAUGACGGUACCUGAAGAAUAAGCACCGGCUAACUACGUGCCAGCCGCCGCCGUAAAAC